AAGUCGUAACAAGGUUUCCGUAGGUGAACCUGCGGAAGGAUCAUUAACAAAACCAAAUGUAUUACAUAUACGAGCAAUGCAGUCCUCUCUUUGGACUGACAUAAUAAACCUAUUGAUUUUGUAGUUAUACCAUAUAAUCAUAUACAACAACUUUUAACAAUGGAUCUCUUGGCUCUC
rnacentral:misc_RNA from 1 species